rnacentral:rRNA from 1 species
CGAAAGCGUGGCUAAUACCGCAUACGCCCUACGGGGGAAGCGGGGGACCUUCGGGCCUCGCACUAUUGGAGCGGCCGAUAUCGGAUUAGCUAGUUGGUGGGGUAACGGCCUACCAAGGCGACGAUCCGUAGCUGGUUUGAGAGGACGACCAGCCACACUGGGACUGAGACACGGCCCAGACUCCUACGGGAGGCAGCAGUGGGGAAUUUUGGACAAUGGGGGCAACCCUGAUCCAGCCAUCCCGCGUGUGCGAUGAAGGCCUUCGGGUUGUAAAGCACUUUUGGCAGGAAAGAAACGGCACGGGCUAAUAUCCUGUGCAACUGACGGUACCUGCAGAAUAAGCACCGGCUAACUACGUGCCAGCAGCCGCGGUAAUACGUAGGGUGCAAGCGUUAAUCGGAAUUACUGGGCGUAAAGCGUGCGCAGGCGGUUCGGAAAGAAAGAUGUGAAAUCCCAGGGCUUAACCUUGGAACUGCAUUUUUAACUACCGGGCUAGAGUGUGUCA